UCGAUUCCCGGCCAAUGCAACUUAUUGUUU
rnacentral:piRNA from 1 species